GUCCUUUUGAGUAUAAUUUAAGGUCUAGCCUGCCCACUGAAUUUUAAAUGGCCGCGGUAAUUUGACCGUGCUAAGGUAGCAUAAUCAUUAGUUUUUUAAUUGAAAGCUGGUAUGAAUGGUUGAAUAAGAAAAUAACUGUCUCUAUUUAAUUUAGUUGAAUUUUAUUUUUAAGUAAAAAAGCUUAAAUAAAAUUAAAAGACGAGAAGACCCUUUAGAGUUUUAUAUAAAAUUAAUUUUAAUAUUUUAGAAAUUUAAAAUUGAAUUUAUUUUUAUAAUUGAUUGGGGUGAUUGAAAAAUUAAAAAAACUUUUUUUAUAUUUAUAACAUAAAUUUAUGAGUAUUUGAUCCAAUAAUUUUGAUUAUAAGAUUAAAUUACCUAAGGGAUAACAGCGUAAUUUUUUUUGAGAGUUCUAAUCGAAAAAGAAGAUUGCGACCUCGAUGUUGGAUUAAAAUUAAUUUUUGGUGUAGAGGCUAAAAGUUUAGGUCUGUUCGACCUUUAAAAUUU
rnacentral:rRNA from 1 species